rnacentral:rRNA from 1 species
GACGAACGCUGGCGGCGUGCUUAACACAUGCAAGUCGAACGGAAAGACCCUGCUUUUGUGGGGUGCUCGAGUGGCGAACGGGUGAGUAACACGUGAGUAACCUGCCCUUGACUUUGGGAUAACUUCAGGAAACUGCGGCUAAUACCGCAUAGGAGCUCCUGCUGCAUGGUGGGGAUGGAACGUUUGGGCGGUUGGGGAUGGACUCGGGGCUUAUCAGCUUGUUGGUGGGGUAGGGGCUUACCAAGGCUUUGACGGGUAGCCGGCCCGGGAGGGUGAACGGGGACCAGGGGCCUGAGGUACGGAGCAGAAGGCUACGGGAGGCAGCAGGCGGGAGUAUGGCACAGUGGGGGGAAGUCUGUGGCAGAAACGUCGGGUGCGGGAUGACGGCUUUUGGGUGGUAAACAGAUGUCGCAGGAGACGAAGCGUGAGUGACGGUAACGGGUAAAGAAGCAACGGCUAACUACGUG